rnacentral:rRNA from 1 species
AUUGAACGCUGGCGGCAGGCCUAACACAUGCAAGUCGAACGAGUGGCGGACGGGUGAGUAAUGUCUGGGAAACUGCCCGAUGGAGGGGGAUAACUACUGGAAACGGUAGCUAAUACCGCAUACCAUCGGAUGUGCCCAGAUGGGAUUAGCUAGUAGGUGGGGUAACGGCUCACCUAGGCGACGAUCCCUAGCUGGUCUGAGAGGAUGACCAGCCACACUGGAACUGAGACACGGUCCAGACUCCUACGGGAGGCAGCAGUGGGGAAUAUUGCACAAUGGGCGCAAGCCUGAUCCAGCCAUGCCGCGUGCAGGAUGAAGGUCUUCGGAUUGUAAACUGCUUUUGUCAGGGAAGCGGUACCUGAAGAAUAAGCACCGGCUAACUACGUGCCAGCCGCCGCGGUAAUAC